rnacentral:rRNA from 1 species
GAUGAACGCUGGCGGCGUGCCUAAUACAUGCAAGUCGAGCGAACAGACGAGGAGCUUGCUCCUCUGACGUUAGCGGCGGACGGGUGAGUAACACGUGGAUAACCUACCUAUAAGACUGGGAUAACUUCGGGAAACCGGAGCUAAUACCGGAUAAUAUAUUGAACCGCAUGGUUCAAUAGUGAAAUACGGUUUUGCUGUCACUUAUAGAUGGAUCCGCGCCGCAUUAGCUAGUUGGUAAGGUAACGGCUUACCAAGGCAACGAUGCGUAGCCGACCUGAGAGGGUGAUCGGCCACACUGGAACUGAGACACGGACCAGACUCCUACGGGAGGCAGCAGUAGGGAAUCUUCCGCAAUGGGCGAAAGCCUGACGGAGCAACGCCGCGUGAGUGAUGAAGGUCUUCGGAUCGUAAAACUCUGUUAUUAGGGAAGAACAAAUGUGUAAGUAACUAUGCACGUCUUGACGGUACCUAAUCAGAAAGCCACGGCUAACUACGUG